GCGUGGCGGGUGCUAUACUGCAGUCGAACGCUUUUUCUUUCACCGGAGCUUGCUCCACCGAAAGAAAAAGAGUGGCGAACGGGUGAGUAACACGUGGGUAACCUGCCCAUCAGAAGGGGAUAACACUUGGAAACAGGUGCUAAUACCGUAUAACACUAUUUUCCGCAUGGAAGAAAGUUGAAAGGCGCUUUUGCGUCACUGAUGGAUGGACCCGCGGUGCAUUAGCUAGUUGGUGAGGUAACGGCUCACCAAGGCCACGAUGCAUAGCCGACCUGAGAGGGUGAUCGGCCACACUGGGACUGAGACACGGCCCAGACUCCUACGGGAGGCAGCAGUAGGGAAUCUUCGGCAAUGGACGAAAGUCUGACCGAGCAACGCCGCGUGAGUGAAGAAGGUUUUCGGAUCGUAAAACUCUGUUGUUAGAGAAGAACAAGGAUGAGAGUAGAACGUUCAUCCCUUGACGGUAUCUAACCAGAAAGCCACGGCUAACUACGUGCCAGCAGCCGCGGUAAUACGUAGGUGGCAAGCGUUGUCCGGAUUUAUUGGGCGUAAAGCGAGCGCAGGCGGUUUCUUAAGUCUGAUGUGAAAGCCCCCGGCUCA
rnacentral:rRNA from 1 species